rnacentral:rRNA from 1 species
AAGGUCCUACGGGGCGCAGCAGUAGGGAAUUUUCGGCAAUGGGGGGAACCCUGACCGAGCAACGCCGCGUGAAGGAAGAAGGAAUUCGUUCUGUAAACUUCUGUUAUAAAGGAAGAAAGACGGAUGGAGGAAAUGACAUCCGAGUGACGGUACUUUAUGAGAAAGCCACGGCUAACUACGUGCCAGCAGCCGCGGUAAUACUUAGGUGGCAAGCGUUAUCCGGAAUUAUUGGGCGUAAAGAGGGAGCAGGCGGCAGCAAAGGUCUGUGGUGAAAG